AUUAACAGCUUUUCUUGAGUCUGC
rnacentral:siRNA from 1 species